rnacentral:rRNA from 1 species
AUUGAACGCUGGCGGCAUGCUUUACACAUGCAAGUCGAACGGUAACAGGCCUUCGGGUGCUGACGAGUGGCGCACGGGUGCGUAAUGCAUCGGAACGUACCCAGAGGUGGGGGAUAACGCAGCGAAAGCUGUGCUAAUACCGCAUGUGAUCUGAGGAUGAAAGCGGGGGACCGAGCAGCAAUGUUUGGCCUCGCGCCUUUGGAGCGGCCGAUGUCGGAUUAGCUAGUUGGUGGGGUAAAGGCCUACCAAGGCGACGAUCCGUAGCUGGUCUGAGAGGACGACCAGCCACACUGGGACUGGGACACGGCCCAGACUCCUACGGGAGGCAGCAGUGGGGAAUUUUGGACAAUGGGCGCAAGCCUGAUCCAGCAAUGCCGCGUGCGGGAAGAAGGCCUUCGGGUUGUAAACCGCUUUUGGCAGGAACGAAACGGUGUCCGCUAAUACCGGGCGCUAAUGACGGUACCUGAAGAAUAAGCACCGGCGAACUACGU